GACGAACGCUGGCGGCGUGCUUAACACAUGCAAGUCGAACGAUGAAGCCGGAGCUUGCUCUGGUGAAUUAGUGGCGAACGGGUGAGUAACACGUGAGUAACCUGCCCUUGACUCUGGGAUAACUGCGGGAAACUGUAGCUAAUACCGGAUACGACCCUCGGAGGCAUCUCCUGGGGGUGGAAAGAAUUUCGGUCAAGGAUGGACUCGCGGCCUAUCAGCUAGUUGGUGAGGUAACGGCUCACCAAGGCGACGACGGGGAGCCGGCCUGAGAGGGUGACCGGCCACACGGGAACUGAGACACGGCCCAGACUCCUACGGGAGGCAGCAGUGGGGAAUAUUGCACAAUGGGCGCAAGCCUGAUGCAGCAACGCCGCGUGAGGGAUGACGGCCUUCGGGUUGUAAACCUCUUUUAGCAGGGAAGAAGCGAAAGUGACGGUACCUGCAGAAAAAGCACCGGCUAACUACGUGCCAGCAGCCGCCGUAA
rnacentral:rRNA from 1 species